GCGGCUGUGAGUUGCAGCUUCUUCCCAUGAAAUGCCGAAGGAGCCCCCUGAGAAGAGUAUUUCAUCCAGAUUGCAAGGGGGGGGGGCACUCGGAGCGAAUGGGGGUCUUGCAAAGAAGCAAAACUCUAGACAUCCAGGAGAUUCCUUGAGCAGCACUUCAGCACCAUGAAAAAGUGGACUCGCAGUAUAUCGGAGAGGAAAGAAAGGCCCCCCUAUCAUCCUGGCUGGACAUUGUGGGAAAUUCUGGCCAAGCAUCAGGACAAGCAAUCUGGAGGAAGGAACCACAAGUUCUGGUGUACAAUAUCACUUCAGAGAGUGUGUUACCAGGAGGGACCCUGGGAUCUUAGCAGCCACCUCCACCAUCUUUGAUAUCAGCGGCUGAACCCAGAAAAGAACACAAAAGUUCAGGUGCUGGACCUGGUGCUCCUGCCCCAGAGAUGGAGAGCUGGAUAUGAAAAUGUGGAGCAGAGAGAAGUUCCCAGGCAGUGGCCCUAGCAGAAGACUUCUUCCUGAGCCAGGAAGAGGACAAGGAGCUGAAGGUGAAGAGGCCUGUUAUUGAGGCAAUCACUCCAAGGCAAGAGGGAAUCUGUCCAAUCCCUCCCAAAAGCCACCCUGGAGGAUCCAACUCAGGACACGUCACCAGGAGAUGAUGAGAAUUAUACAUAGCCAGAUCUGAUGUCAUCACAAAGAACUGCACGUGACCUGGAAGAACAGUAAUAUCAAAAUCAAUUAGGACCUAAAGGCCUGAGGAAAAGCAGUCAAACAGCAAAGAGGAGAAGCCAUAGUAAUACUUGAUGUGUGGAAAGUGUUUCAGGAAGGGUAGUCCCCUUAGUUCCAUCAAAGGAUCCUCUCAGGGGGAAAACCAAUCAAGGAUCAGGUUAUCUGAGGAGCCGUCUCACCCGUUAUAUCAGGCCGCCCCACUCGGUCCAGCAGAAGGGGCAUGUUGCAGACCCCACCAGUCAAGGAAUUUCGACU